ensembl:lncRNA
AUGCAUUUGUAAUGAGGGGGCGCACUUCUGUGCAGUGUGCACAAGUCGUCGUUGCUAGCAGGCUGCACCCGACAGCCAAGGGAUUUACAUGUGGCAUAGCAAGUCUCUGAAGCAGUGUCUCACACUCGAGUCCUGACCGAGGGCCUUGAAACUGGCAUGCCUGUUCAAAACAUCUCCAGGACAACAAGAUGAAGGAGAAUGCGUGCAGUGGGCUGAAUGGAGAAUUCGUGAAUCAAAGGCAACACCAUCAAAUGCAUUAUGAAAUUAAGCACUAUCAGGUUGUCAAGGCUGUAGCUCAGCGGACCUGCAAGAGGCCAUGGCUAUCGCUCAAGGACAUGUCAACAGAGAGCAGGAUCGGCAGGCUGAAUUCUACAACCGUCGUACAAAGGGGAAACUGAUCGCUGUGGGUGAUCGUGUCCUGGUGUCCAACAAGCGGGAGAGAGGGAAACGGAAGAUUGCAGACCGUUGGGAGUCCACAGUGUAUACUGUUGUCAGCAUCAAUGCCUCCACCCACACCUACCGGAUCCGACACCCUGAAACAGGCCAAGAAAGAGUUGU